GAUGAACGCUGGCGGCGUGCCUAAUACAUGCAAGUCGAGCGAACAGACGAGGAGCUUGCUCCUCUGACGUUAGCGGCGGACGGGUGAGUAACACGUGGAUAACCUACCUAUCAGACUGGGAUAACUUCGGGAAACCGGAGCUAAUACCGGAUAAUAUAUUGAACCGCAUGGUUCAAUAGUGAAAGACGGUUUUGCUGUCACUUAUAGAUGGAUCCGCGCCGCAUUAGCUAGUUGGUAAGGUAACGGCUUACCAAGGCGACGAUGCGUAGCCGACCUGAGAGGGUGAUCGGCCACACGGGAACUGAGACACGGUCCAGACUCCUACGGGAGGCAGCAGUAGGGAAUCUUCCGCAAUGGGCGAAAGCCUGACGGAGCAACGCCGCGUGAGUGAUGAAGGUCUUCGGAUCGUAAAACUCUGUUAUUAGGGAAGAACAAAUGUGUAAGUAACUAUGCACGUCUUGACGGUACCUAAUCAGAAAGCCACGGCUAACUACGUG
rnacentral:rRNA from 1 species